rnacentral:rRNA from 1 species
UACAGAGGUCUCAAGCGUUGUUCGGAUUCAUUGGGCGUAAAGGGUGUGUAGGUGGCGCCGUAAGUCGGGUGUGAAAUUUCGGAGCUUAACUCCGAAACUGCAUUCGAUACUGCGGUGCUUGAGGACUGGAGAGGAGACUGGAAUUCAUGGUGUAGCAGUGAAAUGCGUAGAGAUCAUGAGGAAGACCAGUGGCGAAGGCGGGUCUCUGGACAGUUCCUGGCACUAAGACACGAAGGCCAGGGGAGCAAACGGG